AAAUUAGGGUCGAUGCGCGGCAACAUCUUCACUCUGAUUUUUUAUGUUCUUAGGACAUUUAAGAGUGUAAGGUAAUAACCCAAUAACCCUUCCAUCACAUAAGGUUUUCUUGGUCAUUUGGGUCCUUUGUCUCGCGACAAAAAACCGGGAAAUGGCGGAUGCUCGCGCCUGAUAUCGAUCUUAUUUU
rnacentral:telomerase_RNA from 1 species